GCUACACAAGAUGAGUGAGGAUCAGAACGUAUGCGAACAUCUUGAUUUAUUUUUUGAAGCUGUCGAUAAGUUAGAAGAAAUGGACAUCGUGAUCCAUGAUGAUCUUUUAGCGAUUAUGUUGCUGUAUAGUUUACCAGCAAGCUAUGAGAACUUCAGAUGCGCCAUUGAAAGUAGAGACGAGCUGCCAAAGCCUGAACAACUUAGGGUGAAAAUUAUCGAAGAAUACAGUUCGAGAGGCAAUACCCAAGUUGAGAGGAUAGAAGGAGCUAUGUAUAUAAAUAAACAUCAGAAGAAGAAUGGGACUGGACCUGAAACAAAAUUUAAGUAUAAAUGUUUCAAAUGUCAUAACUUUGGACAUAAGGCAUCCGAUUGCAAGAAAAAGAAGUCUUCUCAGGCUUCAGAACAGAAACCUUCAGAAUCUAGUUGCGUUGAGUCGUGUUCGACUGUAGAACAUGAAGCUUUAACUGUGUAUCAUGUUUCAGAUAACUGUUUAGCUAUUGAUUCCAAGCGUCUUCAUCAGGAAUGGUUGUUUGAUAGCGGUUGCAGCUCGCACAUGUGUAACAACGCAAGCAGGUUUGAUAAAAUAUUGCCAAGUAACCAACAAUUGAAAUUAGCCACUGAUUCUUUGACAACCGUGCAAGGUAAGGGUACUGUCAAGAUAUUAGCAUGUAACGAUGAUAUUACGCGAAAAAUCCAAUUUGAAGAUACGUUGUUAGUUCCUGAUCUACGUAGUAACUUAAUUUCGAUUUCUAAACUUACUGAUCGAGGUUGUAUAGUCACUUUUAAACGUGAUGUAGCAUAUGCAACUAAGGAUGGUGAAGUUAAGUUGACUGCUGAUCGUAGAGGUAAUUUGUAUUACCUGAGAGAGCAGGAUGCUUCGGCAUCUGUAGUAUCAGAUAAGGAUGUGGAUUUGUGUAGAUGGCAUGAGCGUAUGGGACAUUUGAAUGCUAGGGAUCUUAUGAAAGUACUGAAGAAAUCGGGUAUAGACGCCACCAAGUCUGAUACUGAAUUGCGCGAUUGUGAUGUGUGUGCUAAGGGAAAGAUGGUUGCGUUGCCUUUUGUGAAGUCCAGUCAGCCAUGUGACGAAAAGUUAAAAAUAAUUUAUUCUGAUGUGGUAGGCCCAAUGAGAGUUCAAUCAAAUGCGGGAAACAAAUAUUUUGUUACAUUUAUUGAUGAUUGUACUCGUUGGUGUGAAGUUUUUAUGUUGAAAAAUAAAAGUGACGUCUUGUCAAAGUUUAAAAUAUUUAAAUGUCAGAUCGAAAAUUUGACAGGUAAACAAAUAAAAUAUUUCCAUUCCGAUAAUGGCAAGGAAUUUGUGAAUAGUGAUUUUUCGAAAUUUUUACAAGAAAAUGGAAUAAAAAGGAGGUUGACUACGCCGUAUUCACCGCAGAGUAAUGGAAUUGCAGAACGGAUGAAUCGCACCUUACUGGAGAAGGCAAGAUAACAUUCGGUGCGAAAGUUCAUGUUUUGGAAAAGGAGCCAGGAAAGGAUAAGUUCGCAGCACGAAGUUCUCCCGGCAUUUUUGUGGGCUACCCGGCUGAAUCUGGUGGCUAUAGGGUGUGGAUAUCCGAGAAAAGAAAAA